rnacentral:rRNA from 1 species
GGUCAAGCGGGAAAGGGCACAUGGUGGAUGCCUUGGCAUCAAGGGCCGAUGAAGGACGUAGCAAGGCUGCGAUAAGCCUCGGUCAGCUGCCUAGCAAGCUUAGCCGUGGAUAUCCGAAUGGGGCAACCCACUCAGGUAAAACCUGGGUACCCCCAGCUGAACACAUAGGCUGGGUGGAGGUAAGCAGGGGAAGUGAAACAUCUCAGUACCCUGAGGAAAAGAAAUCAAGAGAGAUUCCCUGAGUAGUGGCGAACGAAAAGGGAACAGCCCAAACCCUAUAAGCUUAGUGGCUCUGGGGCCUAUGCUUAUGGGGGGUUGCAAGUCAGGCCGGACUUUAGCCCAGAAUAGGUCAAGGAGUUACAAACCCAACCCUAGUUGAAGGUCCCUGGAAAGGGUAACCAUAGAGGGUGACAGUCCCGUAAACGAAAAGGGGUAAGCUCCUAGCCUGCACUUAAGUACCACGGGACACGAG